rnacentral:tRNA from 1 species
AUAUAGCUCAGUGGUACAGUGCCUGCCUGGCAAGCCUGAGGUUGUGAGUUCGAUUCCCAUUAU